rnacentral:RNase_P_RNA from 2 species
GGAGUUGGGCGGACUGCCGCUUCUUAAGUUUUUUAAGAAGAGGAAAGUCCGGGCUCCACAGGGCAGAGCGCUGGGUAACACCCAGUGGAGGCGACUCCAGGAAAGUGCCACAGAAAAUAGACCGCCCAGCACCCACUUUGAAGAUGGUAAGUUUUGAAUUUUUAAACUACUAUUUACCGCCUUCAAAGUGGGUGCUGGGUAAGGGUGAAACGGUGGGGUAAGAGCCCACCAGCUACCAUGGUGACAUGGUAGGCUAGGUAAACCCCGCUCGGAGCAAGGCCAAAUAGGAAGGCGUUUGAGGCUGGCCCGGCUGAAGCCUUCGGGUAGGCCGCUGGAGGUCAAGGGUAACCUUGAUCCUAGAUUAAUGGCAGUCACCUCUUUUUAGAGGUACAGAACCCGGCUUAUAGCCCAACUCCCUUU